GACGCUACGGACUUAAAAUCCGUCGACUUUUAAAAUC
rnacentral:tRNA from 1 species